rnacentral:rRNA from 1 species
CUAUAGACAUAUCACCUGAAAACAGUUGACCUCAUCUGAUCUCAGAGGCUAAGCAAUAGGGCCUGGUCAGAACUCAGAUACAAUAUAGC